rnacentral:rRNA from 1 species
AUUGAACGCUGGCGGCAUGCCUUACACAUGCAAGUCGAACGGUAACGCGGGGCAACCUGGCGACGAGUGGCGAACGGGUGAGUAAUGCAUUGGAACGUGCCCAAUAGUGGGGGAUAGCCCGGCGAAAGCCGGAUUAAUACCGCAUACGACCUGAGGGUGAAAGCGGGGGACCGAAAGGCCUCGCGCUAUUGGAGCGGCCGAUGUCAGAUUAGGUAGUUGGUGGGGUAAAGGCCUACCAAGCCGACGAUCUGUAGCUGGUCUGAGAGGACGACCAGCCACACUGGGACUGAGACACGGCCCAGACUCCUACGGGAGGCAGCAGUGGGGAAUUUUGGACAAUGGGCGCAAGCCUGAUCCAGCCAUGCCGCGUGCGGGAAGAAGGCCUUCGGGUUGUAAACCGCUUUUGUCAGGGAAGAAACGCUCUGGGUUAAUACCUCGGGGUAAUGACGGUACCUGAAGAAUAAGCACCGGCUAACUACGUGCCAGCAGCCGCGGUAAUAC